CAGUAGCCGCGGUAAUACGAGGGGGGCAAGCGUUGUUCGGAAUUAUUGGGCGUAAAGGGUGCGUAGGCGGUUUCGUAAGUCUUAUGUGAAAUCUAUGGGCUCAACCCAUAGUCUGCAUGGGAAACUGCGAGGCUUGAGGAUGGGAGAGGUGAGUGGAAUUUCCGGUGUAGCGGUGAAAUGCGUAGAUAUCGGAAGGAACACCUGUGGCGAAAGCGGCUCACUGGACCAUUUCUGACGCUGAUGCACGAAAGCUAGGGGAGCAAACAGGAUUAGAUACCCCCGUAGUCCCUGUCUCUUAUAC
rnacentral:rRNA from 1 species